GACGUAGGGCGCGAGCGUUGUCCGGAUUUAUUGGGCGUAAAGAGCUCGUAGGCGGCUUGUCGCGUCGACUGUGAAAACCCAUGGCUCAACCGUGGGCUUGCAGUCGAUACGGGCGGGCUAGAGUUCGGUAGGGGAGACUGGAAUUCCUGGUGUAGCGGUGAAAUGCGCAGAUAUCAGGAGGAACACCGGUGGCGAAGGCGGAUCUCUGGGCCAUUACUGACGCUGAGGAGCGAAAGCGUGGGGAGCGAACAGG
rnacentral:rRNA from 1 species